AGCACAAUUGUUGGGUCAUAUGGUAAGAGUAUGUUUAGUUUUGUAAGAAACUGCCAAGCUGUCUUACAAAGUGGCUGUACCAUUUUGCAUUCCCACCAGCAAA
rnacentral:pre_miRNA from 1 species